GACGAACGCUGGCGGCGUGCUUAACACAUGCAAGUCGAACGGAAAAGCCCUGCUUUUGUGGGGUGCUCGAGUGGCGAACGGGUGAGUAACACGUGAGUAACCUGCCCUUGACUUUGGGAUAACUUCAGGAAACUGGGGCUAAUACCGGAUAGGAGCUCCUGCUGCAUGGUGGGGGUUGGAAAGUUUCGGCGGUUGGGGAUGGACUCGCGGCUUAUCAGCUUGUUGGUGGGGUAGUGGCUUACCAAGGCUUUGACGGGUAGCCGGCCUGAGAGGGUGACCGGCCACAUUGGGACUGAGAUACGGCCCAGACUCCUACGGGAGGCAGCAGUGGGGAAUAUUGCACAAUGGGCGGAAGCCUGAUGCGGCAACGCCGCGUGCGGGAUGACGGCCUUCGGGUUGUAAACCGCUUUCGCCUGUGACGAAGCGUGAGUGACGGUAAUGGGUAAAGAAGCACCGGCUAACUACGUG
rnacentral:rRNA from 1 species